rnacentral:tRNA from 1 species
GGCUGGUUAGCUCAGUGGGUUGAGCAUGGUGCUGAUAACACCGAGAUCAGGGAUUCGAUUCCUAUUUGGUCU